GAUGAACGCUGGCGGCGUGCCUAAUACAUGCAAGUCGAGCGAAGCGGGGACGGGUGAGUAACACGUGGAUAAACUCCUAUAAGACUGGGAUAACUUCGGGAAACCGGAGCUAAACCCGAAACUUAACGAUGGAUACGCGCUGCAUUAGCUAGUUGGUAAGGUAACGGCUUACCAAGGCAACGAUGCAUCGCCGACCUGAGAGGGGAAUCACCCCCCAUGGAACUGAGACACGGUCCAGACUCCUCCUAUAUCCACCAUUAUAAAAUCUUCCGCAAUGACCGAAAGCCUGACAGAGCAACGCAGCGUGUGUGAUGAAUUUCUUCGGGUCCUAACACUCUGUUAUUAGGGAAGCGGUACCUAAUCAGAAAGCCACGGCUAACUACGUGCCAGCAGCCGCGGUAAUAC
rnacentral:rRNA from 1 species